rnacentral:rRNA from 1 species
GACGAACGCUGGCGGCGUGCCUAAUACAUGCAAGUAGAACGCUGAAGGAGGAGCUUGCUUCUCCGGAUGAGUUGCGAACGGGUGAGUAACGCGUAGGUAACCUGCCUGGUAGCGGGGGAUAACUAUUGGAAACGAUAGCUAAUACCGCAUAAGAGUAGAUGUCGCAUGACAUUUGCUUAAAAGGUGCAACUGCACCACUACCAGAUGGACCUGCGUUGUAUUAGCUAGUUGGUGAGGUAACGGCUCACCAAGGCAACGAUACAUAGCCGACCUGAGAGGGUGAUCGGCCACACUGGGACUGGGACACGGCCCAGACUCCUACGGGAGGCAGCAGUAGGGAAUCUUCGGCAAUGGACGGAAGUCUGACCGAGCAACGCCGCGGGAGUGAAGAAGGUUUUCGGAUCGUAAAGCUCUGUUGUAAGAGAAGAACGAGUGUGAGAGUGGAAAGUUCACACUGUGACGGUAGCUUACCAGAAAGGGACGGCUAACUACGUG